rnacentral:rRNA from 1 species
GAAUCCGGUUGAUCCUGCCGGACCUGACUGCUAUCGGAUUGGUACUAAGCCAUGCGAGUCAUUGCAGCAAUGCAAGGCGGACGGCUCAGUAACACGUAGUCAACCUACCUUGUGGACGUGGAUAACCUCGGGAAACUGAGAAUAAACCGCGAUAGAUCAUUAUGCCUGGAAUGGCUUAUGGUCGAAAUAGUUUACUGCCACAGGAUGGGACUGCGGCCUAUCAGCUUGUUGGUGAGGUAAUGGCCCACCAAGGCUAUAACAGGUACGGGCUCUGAGAGGAGAAGCCCGGAGAUGGGUACUGAGACACGGACCCAGGCCCUAUGGGGCGCAGCAGGCGAGAAACCUUAGCAAUGUGCGAAAGCACGACUGGGUCAGUCCGAGUGAUUCCUGCUAAAGGAAUUUUUUACCUGUCCUAAAAACACAGGAGAAUAAGGGGUGGGCAAGUCUGGUGUCAGCCGCCGCGGUAAUACCAGCACCUCGAGUGGUCAGGACGUUUAUUGGGCCUAAAGCAUCCGUAGCCGGCUCUGCAAGUCUCCGGUUAAAUCCAUCUGCUUAACAGAUGGGCCGCUGGAGAUACUACAAAGCUAGGGAGUGGGAGAGGCGGACGGUAUUCGGGGGGUAGGGGUAAAAUCCUCUGAUCCUCCGAGGACCACCAGUGGCGAAGGCGGUCUGCCAGAACACGUUCGACGGUGAGGGAUGAAAGCUGGGGGAGCAAACCGGAUUAGAUACCCGGGUAGUCCCAGCUGUAAACGAUGCAAACUCGGUGAUGCAUUGGCUUAUGGCCAAUGCAGUGCCGCAGGGAAGCCGUUAAGUUUGCCGCCUGGGAAGUACGGCCGCAAGACUGAAACUUAAAGGAAUUGGCGGGGGAGCACCACAAGGGGUGAAGCCUGCGGUUCAAUUGGAGUCAACGCCAGGAAUCUUACCCGGGGAGACAGCAGAAUGAAGGUCAAGCUGAAGACUUUACCAGACAAGCUGAGAGGAGGUGCAUGGCCGUCGCCAGCUCGUGCCGUGAGGUGUCCUGUUAAGUCAGGUAACGAGCGAGAUCCCUGCCCUUAGUUGCAGCAGUUAUUCUCAGGAAUAGCUGGGCUAACUAGGGGGACCGCCACUGCUGAAGUGGAGGAAGGAGGGGGCCACGGCAGGUCAGUAUGCCCCGAAACCCUGGGGCUACACGCGGGCUGCAAUGAUAGUGACAACGGGCUCCUAACCCGAAAGGGAGAGGCAAUCCUUAAACACUAUCUCAGUUAUGACCGAGGGCUGCAACUCGCCCUCGCGAAUAUGGAAUCCCUAGUAACCGCGCGUCACAACCGCGCAGUGAAUACGUCCCUGCUCCUUGCACACACCGCCCGUCGCUUCAUUGAAGUUGGGUUUGUACGAGGUGACGUCUCAUUGGCGUUAUCGAAUACGAGUCUAGCAACAAGGGAGAAGUCGUAACAAGGUGACCGUAGGGGAACCUGCGGUCGGAUCACCUCCUUAG